GCCGUAUCACGUUGCAACACCAGUUCCCCUACGAUCACCGAUGUUAAGCAUCGUCGAACCUGGUCAGUACCUAUAUGGGUGAGCCUUGGGGAUACCAGAUGAUGUAAG